rnacentral:rRNA from 1 species
CAAUAGCGUAUAUUUAAGUUGUUGCAGUUAAAAAGCUCGUAGUUGGAUUUCGGAUGGGACUUGCCGGUCCGUCGUUUCGAUGUGCACUGGCCAGUCCUAUCUUGUUGUCGGGGACUAGCUCCUGGGCUUCACUGUCCGGGACUAGGAGCUGACGAGGUUACUUUGAGUAAAUUAGAGUGUUCAAAGCAAGCCUACGCUCUGAAUACAUUAGCAUGGAAUAACACGAUAGGACUCUGGCUUAUCUUGUUGGUCUGUGAGACCAGAGUAAUGAUUAAGAGGGACAGUCGGGGGCAUUCUUAUUUCAUUGUCAGAGGUGAAAUUCUUGGAUUUAUGAAAGACGAACUUCUGCGAAAGCAUUUGUCAAGGAUGUUUUCAUUAA